rnacentral:lncRNA from 1 species
GGGUUCGUUUAAUGGGCAAGAUUGGGAAGCCUUUAUAAAUCAGUGGAAAACGGUGUGUAAUUCCGCUACCAAAGAGUUAUACAAAUAUAACGUCCUCAACCUUCAGAGACACCUUGUCAAUCAACAACUUACAUGUAUAUUCUCGCUAAAUGUUUUUAAUUACCUAUGGAAUAACUGGUUAAGCACCUCCAGACAAUUGUUCGUAUCUGCAUGGACCAAUC